rnacentral:rRNA from 1 species
GCAGAUAGCCAUACCUUUUUUCAAAGCGAGAUCUCGUUUGAUCUCGGAAGCUAAGCGAGUCCGAAACUGCUUUGUACUUGGACGGGACACCGCUGGGAAUACCGGCGAUUGUGCA